rnacentral:rRNA from 1 species
UACCUGCAGCUCAAGUGGUGAUCAUUAUUAUUGGGCCUAAAACGUCCGUAGCCGGUUUAGUAAAUGCCUGGGUAUAUCGUGUAGCUUAACUAUACGACUUCCGGGUAGACUGCUAAACUUGAGACCGGGAGAAGCUAGAGGUACUCCUGGGGUAGAGGUGAAAUUCUGUAAUCCGUAGGGGGACCACCAGUGGCGAAGGCGUCUAGCUAGAACGGGUCUGACGGUGAGGGACGAAGCCCGUGGGGCACAAACCGGAUUAGAUACCCGGGUAGUCCAGGGUGUAAACGCUGCUUGCUUGAUGUUAGUCGGGCUCCGAGCCCAACUAGUGUCGGAGAGAAGUUGUUAAGCAAGCUGCCUGGGAAGUACGGUCGCAAGGCUGAAACUUAAAGGAAUUGGGCGGGGGAGCACGAGCGGACGGGUGGAGCGUGCGGUUU